rnacentral:tRNA from 1 species
GCCUAGUUAGCUUACUUGGUAGUGCGUCUGCCUUGUAAGCGCUAGGCCGCGGGUUCGAUUCUCGCCCGGGGCG